rnacentral:misc_RNA from 1 species
GACGUGAACAUUAUUACUUUAUUACCAUUCAAAACGCCAAAACCAACCGACCAUAAACCCCACAGUUAAACCUCACUUUGUUCCUGUACCGGAAUAUCUCGUCACACUGCACGGUGGGUUUGAGGAUAUCAUCCGGCUCCGAGCUCUCCAGGCGCUUGGGAUCAAACUUGCCAAAGUUCACGAGCAAGUCGCGAACCUGGUGAUGCUUGUGGCGGAUCUGCGCGGCGUACGCGAGAGACUGGGUCUUGCAGCCGCCGCAGUCAGCGGCGAGGGGGCAGGGCGCCUCGAUGGCGUCGUGGUGUGGCUCGAGGGUCCUGAGCUUGGCGGCCUCGGCAAAGGCGCCACGGCGGAGGCGGCGGACGCGGGCGAUGAGGCGCUCGCCAGGGAGCGCACCAUCGCAGAGCAGGACGAACGUGGAGCCCGCGACCUUGCAGACGCCCUUGCCCUUAAAGGCGAGCGCCUCGCAGGUGAGCUCGACUGUCUCGCCACGCUUCGGGAAGUAGCCCUUGCGAGGAGGAACCGGGGGAAGCGGCAACUGGGAUGGCGCGGGGGUAGGCGCGGGCGAUUCUGGCGCUGCGGCGGCUACGGCGAGGAGGCGGCGGCUGUGGUUGAGGGGAACGCCGCGGCGGAGGCAGCAGAUGGUGAGCGGGGUGACGGCGUGGGCAGCCAUGAGGGGGCUGCCUCUGUCUGCCUGGCUG